rnacentral:rRNA from 1 species
AACGAACGCUGGCGGCAUGCCUAACACAUGCAAGUCGAACGAAGCCUUCGGGCUUAGUGGCGCACGGGUGCGUAACGCGUGGGAAUCUGCCCCUUGCUUCGGAAUAACAGUUAGAAAUGACUGCUAAUACCGGAUGAAGUCUUCGGACCAAAGAUUUAUCGGCAAGGGAUGAGCCCGCGUAGGAUUAGGUAGUUGGUGGGGUAAAGGCCUACCAAGCCGACGAUCCUUAGCUGGUCUGAGAGGAUGAUCAGCCACACUGGGACUGAGACACGGCCCAGACUACUGCGGGAGGGAGGAGUGGGGGAUAUUGGACAAUGGACGCAAGUCUGAUCCAGCAAUGCCGCGUGAGUGAUGAAGGCCUUAGGGUUGUAAAGCUCGUUUACCAGGGAUGAUAAUGACAGUACCUGGAGAAUAAGCUCCGGCUAACUCCGUG